AUGAACGCUGGCGGUAUGCUUAACACAUGCCAGUCGAACGGACUCUUCGGAGUUAGUGGCGGACGGGUGAGUAACGCGUGAGAAUCUGGCUUUGGGUUCGGGACAACCACUGGAAACGGUGGCUAAUACCGGAUGUGCCGAGAGGUAAAAGAGAAAUUGCCUGAAGAUGAGCUCGCGUCUGAUUAGCUAGUUGGUGAGGUAAAGGCUCACCAAGGCAGCGAUCAGUAGCUGGUCUGAGAGGAUGACCAGCCACACUGGGACUGAGACACGGCCCAGACUCCUACGGGAGGCAGCAGUGGGGAAUUUUCCGCAAUGGGCGAAAGCCUGACGGAGCAAUACCGCGUGAGGGAAGAAGGCUCUUGGGUUGUAAACCUCUUUUCUUAGGGAAGAACAAAAUGACGAUACCUAAGGAAUCAGCAUCGGCUAACUCCGUG
rnacentral:rRNA from 1 species